ncrna:unclassified sequences GA-cis RNA
GAGCGGAGGGCGCAUAUGAAUCGUAGAUUCAUAUUUAGGAUGCGCCCGACAAUCUGCCGACGAGCGAAGCGAGGGGGCAAUACCCGGG